UACGUAGGGUGCAGGCGUUAAUCGGAAUUACUGGGCGUAAAGCGUGCGCAGGCGGCUCCUUAAGUCAGAUGUGAAAGCCCCGGGCUUAACCUGGGAACUGCGUUUGAAACUGGGGAGCUAGAGUGUAGAAGAGGGGGGUGGAAUUCCAGGUGUAGCAGUGAAAUGCGUAGAUAUACGGAGGAACACCAGCGGCGAAGGCGGGUAGCUGGGCCAACACUGACGCUGAUGCGCGAAAGCUAGGGUAGCAAACGGG
rnacentral:rRNA from 1 species